UACAGGGGGCAAGCGUUGUCCGGAUUUAUUGGGUUUAAAGGGUGCGUAGGUGGCUGUUUAAGUCAGUGGUGAAAUACGGUUGCUCAACAAUCGAGGUGCCAUUGAUACUGAAUAGCUUGAAAUAAUUGGAGGCUGCCGGAAUGGAUGGUGUAGCGGUGAAAUGCAUAGAUAUCAUCCAGAACACCGAUUGCGAAGGCAGGUGGCUA
rnacentral:rRNA from 1 species